CAGGAGUAGAGACGGAUCCCCCAUUAGAAUCAACCCUAGUCACUGCCCCUCUCUUUUCUUUUCUCUCUAUCACACAAGCUCAUUCUCACCUCACUCCCGUCUGAAUACAGAGGCAUAUGCACACCUUACUCACAGCUCAUACACCCCAUUUAUUCCUCGCUACAGGAGACAACAAUGAGACUAAUAUGGCAGGCACAACCCAACAUGACUAAAGAAGUUUGUUAGGAGUGACUACGAUUCAACAUUUGAGGACGAAUGUUCCAAAGGGGAUGAUGUUACACCCCACACUUUUCCCCACGCAUAGAGUUAAAGAUUGGAAAGUUUAGCUUCUAGCAAGGACAAUCGGCCAGCGACACAUAUGAGGAUAGAAGAGGAUUACACGAUUUAUUAGGCUAAAGCCAGAUAUCCCUCGGUGCUGCAACCUGGGCAGGGCGACCCAUUGUGCAUGUGGAGUGGCGGAAUUUCCUAGACUUGGUAUAAGUAUAAAAGGUGAAUGUAGCUCCUUCUCUUUCAUUCUAGAGAGUGUCACCACUUUAAACCACCCAAAACGCUCUCAAACCUCCCUUGAGAGUUUCUAAGUAGACUAAACUGAAUUAGAAGCGAUUCUAGUAAGAAUUAGUGUGAAUAAGCUUUGGAUUAUCACUAUAAUACAUGUUAUCUCGAUUUUUGGAGACCUACUGAAGGUAGAGUUAAUCACCACGAAGUCGUAAGAAUUCAGGAAAACAUAGCUAGUUUUUCAAGAAGGUACAGAUAGAUCCGGUGACGUCCUUCCCCAAUAGGGUGUUUGCUCCAGCUUUUGGUUGUUGCACUUCACUUCUCCGGAGUAGCUGUUCAAAAGUCAAUAGGUACCGAUGUGUAUGUUCCAGUUAAUUUUGGGUACGGUGGGGCCCUGUCCCGACCAUGUCAGGUACUAUGUUUAGCACUCUUAGAGGCUUGCAUAGCAAUAUUCGGAUGUAUGUAAGGGUUGGUCAUGACUAUGUUGCAAACAGUGGUGAAGUUGCAUUAAUGCUAAUAUUCCUUUCAUAGUGA